rnacentral:tRNA from 1 species
GGGGCAGUAGCUCAGUGGUAGAGCACUUGCCUAGCAUGUAUGAGGCACUGGGUUCAAACCUCAGCACCA